AUGAGACACAAAGUUGCUCCUACUGAGCUGCCAGCUAAAGAGAUCUGGAGGCCAGAAAUGUGUGACGUGACAGGAACAAGACAAAGCCACAGUUUCAGCCAGGGACAAGGCAGUGUCACGCAAACAGAAGGGCAGCUGGAAAAGUUGGGGGUUCAGACUGUCACCCUGGAGUGCCGGUCUCGUAGUAACCUCUCCUUUAAAUUCUUCUCACAGCGACCUCUCAGCUUGUCCGGCUCCCGCUGUCUGAGCACCAUGGAGACGCAUUUCAUUCUCAGCCUUUGGGUCUUUAGCCAACUAGGUGCGGUGCUGGGUGACUCGAUCCGGUCCACGGAACCCGAGGUGUCCAGGUCAGGAGGAGAAACCGUGACCAUCAGCUGUUCUUAUGAAACCAGCUACACUUCCGGUGUCUAUCUCUACUGGUACCGUCAGUAUCCGAACCGAGCCCCGCAGUACAUCCUCCAGAGAGGAGCAAAAGGAAGCACGUUCAGUGAUUCCGCAACUUUCGCCCAGGAGAGGUUUUCUUCCCAGGCUGGUGACACCUCCACAGUUCUGAACAUCACAGCCCUGGAGCUGGCAGACACUGCGGUGUAUCUCUGCGCCCUGAGUUUGGCACAGUGA